CGGGUGCACUGAUCCAGCCGGGCCUUUCCCCUCUGUGGAACCCCCAUGGGCCUUCACUGGCUGUGGUGGGGAAACAGGGACUUUUACUUUGAAAAAAUUAGAGUGCUCCAGGCAGGCCUAUGCUCGAAUACAUUAGCCAUGGAAUAAUAGAAUAGGACGUGUGGUUCUAUUUUGUUGGUUUCUAGGACCGCCGUAAUGAUUAAUAGGGACAGUCGGGGGCAUCAGUAUUCAAUUGUCAGAGGUGAAAUUCUUGGAUCUAUUGAAGACUAACUACUGCGAAAGCAUUUGCCAAGGAUGUUUUCAUUGAUAAGGGAACGAAAGUUAGGGGGAUCGAAGACGAUCAGAUACCGUCGUAGUCUUAACUAUAAACUAUGCCGACUAGGGAUCGGACGAUGUUAUUCUUUGACGCGUUCGGCACCUUUCGAGAAAUCAAAGUGCUUGGGGCUCCAGGGGGGAGUAUGGUCGCAAGGCUGAAACUUAAAGAAAUUGACGGGAAGGGCACCACCAGGGGUGGAACCUGCGGCUUAAUUUGACUCAACACGGGGAAACUCACCAGGUCCAGACACAGUGAGGAUUGACAGAUUGAGAGCUCUUUCUUGAUUCUGUGGGUGGUGGGUGCAUGGGCCGUUCUUAGUUGGUGGAGUGAUUUGUCUGCUUAAUUGCGAUAACGAACGAGACCUUAACCUGCUAAAUAGCCCGUACUGCUUUGGCAGUUCGCCGGCUUCUUAGAGGGACUAUCGG
rnacentral:rRNA from 1 species